GGAGUUGACAAGCGUCAACGAUGCGAUUCAAGUGCGCUCCAUCGUCGAUCUUUGGAGCUUAGAAUUUUGGUAAAAAUCCAAGUAAAAAUGGCCACCAAUCGGGAGAGGGAAACAGGUUCGUGGCAUAACGCCCGUAGGCGCUUGAUAAAGCGGCGUAUGGUAGAAUGGCAAUGUGAAUUUGCAAACCAAAGACAACUUCCGGCCGUGGGCGAACCGCAAAGGAAUGGAGAAACAUUGGCUACUCAACGGGACAAGAUGUUGUCUGAUCUCCUUGGGCGACGCAUAUUUAGGCGUCGUUUGGAGGGAGUCGAAUUGGAUCCUUCGGCCGCAGCUGAACGAGCUCUACCUCAAAGGAAUGAUGCCAUAUUGGAUCCAAUGAAUGUGGCCGACACACUUGCACCCCGUAGCACUGGCGAGGAGGAUCCGCCGGUAAUAUCUAUAAUAUCCCGGGGUCCAUUCCAGCGUCUGGCGCUGCGGGGAACUGCCUCUGCUGUCGGAGAUGCAAAGCCAAUGACGCUGGAAUCUGUCGCCAAGGUCCAGGUCGUGGAGCAAAACAGGGUGUCAAUGGUUAGGUCGCCCUCCAUCUCAGCUGCCAAAGCUAUCCGUAAGGUAGCGGUAGUCGCUCCUAUGGGUGUGUGUGAGGGAGUGCGGAAGAAUCCUAACUGUUUGAAUCUGACUAAUAAGAUUGCAAACCAGAACAUAAAUAUUCAUCAAAAGUACGCACGCCUACAGGUGCGUUUACCGCCUCUGGAGCCGUCUUGUAGUAAUAAGCCAACGGCGGUAGUGCUUCGGCUGGAUCAUUCUGCAGGUACUGCAACCGUCGAGCACCGUUAGCCAUUGAGGCCGGCCACUACCGCCAUACAUCUCUCAUCCACUGGUGAGCCCAUAACACCAUAUUUCCCUCGGGAACUUUCAACAACUCCAUCCGUGGCCUACAAGGCCGUGCGUUAAGCGUAGCAGCGAUGAAGCAACAUUCCAUCUGUCUGUUGAAAUAAAAAGAAAAUGCUAAAAGUAUCCGUCUUUUCAUUAUUUUCAGCGUUAGAUUUCUAAGUGAGAAGUUAGUAAGGUUGUUGAAAAGAUGAACGGGAAGAGACUUCAAGAAGAGUCGAAGAUAAGAAUAGAUAAAAGAGCGAGAAACAAUGAUUUAUGCGCCCGCACUGCUCUAUGGAGAUGACUUGAAUAAAACGAUGUUGUACAAUGGGA